GAUGAAGAACGCAGCGAACGUGCGAAACGUAAUGUGAAUUGCAGAAUUCAGUGAAUCAUCGAAUCUUUGAACGCAUCUUGCGCUCCUUGGUAUUCCGAGGAGCAUGCCUGUUUGAGUGUCGUGAAAUACUCAAUUUCAAUCUUUUUGUUUGAAAUUGGAUUUGGACGUUGUUGUGGCAAGUUCACACAACUCGUCCUAAAUAUAUUAGCGAGUCUGUCUUGAUCACGCACAAUGUGAUAAAAAAAAAGCAUUGUUCUUAUCAAGUCAAGUCGCUUCCAAUCGUCGAAAGACAACUAAUCUAUGUCAUUUGACCUCAAAUCAGGUAGGAUUACCCGCUGAACUUAAGCAUAUCAAUAAGCGGAGGA
rnacentral:misc_RNA from 1 species